rnacentral:rRNA from 1 species
UACGUAGGGUGCGAGCGUUUGUCCGGAAUUAUUGGGCGUAAAGAGCUCGUAGGCGGUGUGUCACGUCGGCCGUGAAAACCUGCAGCUUAACUGUGGGCGUGCGGUCGAUACGGGCAUCACUGGAGUUCGGCAGGGGAGACUGGAAUUCCUGGUGUAGCGGUGAAAUGCGCAGAUAUCAGGAGGAACACCGGUGGCGAAGCGGGUCUCUGGGCAGUAACUGACGCUGAGGAGCGAAAGCGUGGGGAGCGAACAGG